rnacentral:rRNA from 1 species
UGGGAGCUUGCUCCCUGAUGUUAGCGGCGGACGGGUGAGUAACACGUGGGUAACCUGCCUGUAAGACUGGGAUAACUCCGGGAAACCGGGGCUAAUACCGGAUGGUUGUUUGAACCGCAUGGUUCAAACAUAAAAGGUGGCUUCGGCUACCACUUACAGAUGGACCCGCGGCGCAUUAGCUAGUUGGUGAGGUAACGGCUCACCAAGGCAACGAUGCGUAGCCGACCUGAGAGGGUGAUCGGCCACACUGGGACUGAGACACGGCCCAGACUCCUACGGGAGGCAGCAGUAGGGAAUCUUCCGCAAUGGACGAAAGUCUGACGGAGCAACGCCGCGUGAGUGAUGAAGGUUUUCGGAUCGUAAAGCUCUGUUGUUAGGGAAGAACAAGUACCGUUCGAAUAGGGCGGUACCUUGACGGUACCUAACCAGAAAGCCACGGCUAACUACGUGCCAGCAGCCGCGGUAAUACGUAGGUGGCAAGCGUUGUCCGGAAUUAUUGGGCGUAAAGGGCUCGCAGGCGGUUUCUUAAGUCUGAUGUGAAAGCCCCCGGCUCAACCGGGGAGGGUCAUUGGAAACUGGGGAACUUGAGUGCAGAAGAGGAGAGUGGAAUUCCACGUGUAGCGGUGAAAUGCGUAGAGAUGUGGAGGAACACCAGUGGCGAAGGCGACUCUCUGGUCUGUAACUGACGCUGAGGAGCGAAAGCGUGGGGAGCGAACAGGAUUAGAUACCCUGGUAGUCCACGCCGUAAACGAUGAGUGCUAAGUGUU